rnacentral:rRNA from 1 species
GACGAACGUUGGCGGCGUGCUUAACACAUGCAAGUCGAACGAGACGAUUGAAAGCUUGCUUUCGAAAGUCGAGUGGCAAACGGGUGAGUAACGCGUAGACAACCUGCCUUUGAGAUGGGGACAACAGUUCGAAAGGACUGCUAAUACCGAAUGUUGUAUAUUUUCCACAUGGAAGAUAUAUUAAAGAUGGCCUCUAUUUAUAAGCUAUCGCUCAAAGAUGGGUCUGCGUCUGAUUAGCUAGUUGGUGGGGUAACGGCCUACCAAGGCGACGAGCAGUAGCCGGUCUGAGAGGAUGAACGGCCACAGUGGGACUGAGACACGGCCCAGACUCCUACGGGAGGCAGCAGUGGGGAAUCUUCCACAAUGGACGAAAGUCUGAUGGAGCAACGCCGCGUGAGUGAAGAAGGGUUUCGGCUCGUAAAGCUCUGUUGUCGGGGACGAAUGGCUAGAUCGUGAAUAAUGAUUUGGCAUGACGGUACCUUUGGAGGAAGCCACGGCUAACUACGUGCCAGCCGCCGCGGUAA